UUCUUGUGUAGAACAAAACUCUAACAUUAUCAGCAAAACAGCAUUCCCAUACUCUAAACUGAAUGUUUUUGUAACAUUUUGUCUUUUUGGAAGUAGUGAAGCAAUCAACAUUCACUACCAGAAAGUCUUCCUGAAAGCAAAUCUGAGGUGGGACAUUUACAUUAGUGUAAGAGCACAGUUCUCCACAAAAGAGAAGAGUGUAUUUCUCCGUGUUCUUCAUUGGAAACUUGGCAUCCACAGGGGGACAAGCAAAGUCAUCAAAAGGAAUAUGGAUAUAUAUAUAUAGUACAUCGGCUAUGCCUACCACUGAAAGCUCAGGACCCUCUGCAUGCCCAGUCCCAAAUGAAGCAGUAAGAUCUG